AGUCGAACGAACUUCCGUUAAUUGAUUAUGACGUGCUUGCACUGAAUGAGAUUUUAACACGAAGUGAGUGGCGGACGGGUGAGUAACACGUGGGUAACCUGCCCAGAAGCAGGGGAUAACACCUGGAAACAGAUGCUAAUACCGUAUAACAGAGAAAACCGCCUGGUUUUCUUUUAAAAGAUGGCUCUGCUAUCACUUCUGGAUGGACCCGCGGCGCAUUAGCUAGUUGGUGAGGUAACGGCUCACCAAGGCGAUGAUGCGUAGCCGACCUGAGAGGGUAAUCGGCCACAUUGGGACUGAGACACGGCCCAGACUCCUACGGGAGGCAGCAGUAGGGAAUCUUCCACAAUGGACGCAAGUCUGAUGGAGCAACGCCGCGUGAGUGAAGAAGGGUUUCGGCUCGUAAAGCUCUGUUGUUAAAGAAGAACGUGGGUGAGAGUAACUGUUCACCCAGUGACGGUAUUUAACCAGAAAGCCACGGCUAACUACGUGCCAGCAGCCGCGGUAAUACGUAGGUGGCAAGCGUUAUCCGGAUUUAUUGGGCGUAAAGCGAGCGCAGGCGGUCUUUUAAGUCUAAUGUGAAAGCCUUCGGCUCAACCGAAGAAGUGCAUUGGAAACUGGGAGACUUGAGUGCAGAAGAGGACAGUGGAACUCCAUGUGUAGCGGUGAAAUGCGUAGAUAUAUGGAAGAACACCAGUGGCGAAGGCGGCUGUCUGGUCUGUAACUGACGCUGAGGCUCGAAAGCAUGGGUAGCGAACAGGAUUAGAUACCCUGGUAGUCCAUGCCGUAAACGAUGAUUACUAAGUGUUGGAGGGUUUCCGCCCUUCAGUGCUGCAGCUAACGCAUUAAGUAAUCCGCCUGGGGAGUACGACCGCAAGGUUGAAACUCAAAAGAAUUGACGGGGGCCCGCACAAGCGGUGGAGCAUGUGGUUUAAUUCGAAGCUACGCGAAGAACCUUACCAGGUCUUGACAUCUUCUGCCAACCUAAGAGAUUAGGCGUUCCCUUCGGGGACAGAAUGACAGGUGGUGCAUGGUUGUCGUCAGCUCGUGUCGUGAGAUGUUGGGUUAAGUCCCGCAACGAGCGCAACCCUUAUUACUAGUUGCCAGCAUUCAGUUGGGCACUCUAGUGAGACUGCCGGUGACAAACCGGAGGAAGGUGGGGACGACGUCAAAUCAUCAUGCCCCUUAUGACCUGGGCUACACACGUGCUACAAUGGAUGGUACAACGAGUCGCGAAACCGCGAGGUUUAGCUAAUCUCUUAAAACCAUUCUCAGUUCGGACUGUAGGCUGCAACUCGCCUACACGAAGUCGGAAUCGCUAGUAAUCGCGGAUCAGCAUGCCGCGGUGAAUACGUUCCCGGGCCUUGUACACACCGCCCGUCACACCAUGAGAGUUUGUAACACCCAAAGCCGGUGGGGUAAC
rnacentral:rRNA from 1 species